rnacentral:rRNA from 1 species
GACGAACGCUGGCGGCGUGCUUAACACAUGCAAGUCGAACGGAAAGGCCCUGCUUUUGUGGGGUGCUCGAGUGGCGAACGGGUGAGUAACACGUGAGUAACCUGCCCUUGACUUUGGGAUAACUUCAGGAAACUGGGGCUAAUACCGGAUAGGAGCUCCUGCUGCAUGGUGGGGGUUGGAAAGUUUCGGCGGUUGGGGAUGGACUCGCGGCUUAUCAGCUUGUUGGUGAGGUAGUGGCUUACCAAGGCUUUGACGGGUAGCCGGCCUGAGAGGGUGACCGGCCACAUUGGGACUGAGAUACGGCCCAGACUCCUACGGGAGGCAGCAGUGGGGAAUAUUGCACAAUGGGCGGUAGCCUGAUGCAGCAACGCCGCGUGCGGGAUGACGGCCUUCGGGUUGUAAACCGCUUUCGCCUGUGACGAAGCGUGAGUGACGGUAAUGGGUAAAGAAGCACCGGCUAACUACGUG